rnacentral:rRNA from 1 species
CGGGUGAGUAAUGUCUGGGAAACUGCCCGAUGGAGGGGGAUAACUACUGGAAACGGUAGCUAAUACCGCAUAACGUCGCAAGACCAAAGAGGGGGACCUUCGGGCCUCUUGCCAUCGGAUGUGCCCAGAUGGGAUUAGCUAGUAGGUGGGGUAAUGGCUCACCUAGGCGACGAUCCCUAGCUGGUCUGAGAGGAUGAUCAGCCACACUGGGACUGAGACACGGCCCAG